rnacentral:rRNA from 1 species
UAUCGCAUUUAUUUGACGAAGGCUCCAAAGGAAGCCACGGCUAACUCUGUGCCAGCAGCCGCGGUAAUACAGAGGUGGCAAGCGUUGUUCGGAAUUAUUGGGCGUAAAGAGCACGUAGGUGGGCUUGAAAGUCAGAUGUGAAAGCCUUCUGUUCAACGGAAGAAUUGCAUCUGAAACUGUAAGUCUUGAGUGUAGGAGGGGAGAAUGGAACUUCUGGUGGAGCGGUGAAAUGCGUAGAUAUCAGAAGGAACGCCGGCGGCGAAAGCGAUUCUCUGGCCUAUUACUGACACUCAGUGUGCGAA